GGCCCGCUGGACGCAAGCCGCCGCCUUCCUCCUAGGCGGGCUGCGCUCGGCGAGCGGGCAGCCACCGUGCCGGGCCCCGGAAUACGGGGCGUCCUCGGACGGCGGCGGCCGCAGCGCCGCUCCCUCCCUGCGGCGGCGCCCGCGGCUCGGCGGGGACGACCGCGUCGAGAGCUACGGCGACCGCGGCUGAGGGACACAACUAGGGAGACCGCGGCUGCGCGCGGCUGGGGCCCCGCGUGCGCGCCUCCGCGCUCACAACUUCCCGGCGGCCUCGAGGGCCGCCGCCGCGCUCUGCGCACGCGCGGAUCUCGGGUCUCAGCUCCGGAUUCACUGCUGACCGCCGUCCGCCUCGCGUGGGGCAGAUGCUCUGGACGCCCAACCCUGACCUGUAGCUUCUCAAACCAGCCGCUGGGACCUCGGAAGCAGCUGCAACCUUGGGACCAGAGCAGCUGCUGAUGUAUCAGAAAGCAACUGAAGCCUCCAGCCGCAAGUUUAGUGUGAAGACGUCAGUUCACAAUGCCAGUCCUGGAAAUGAAUUACUGCAAAGGAGAAAACCACACAAAGCCUAGGAGAGCAGUGAGGGGGUGGAGAGAAGAGGUGGAUGCCAGUGCCACGGCCAACAUCCUUUUGACAACACCAGCAAACGUGGAGCGAUCUGGUGCAAAUUAAAAGACCAAUGUGAGAUAUGGCUCUGUGGCUAAUAGCACGAGUUGUUCUUCCAGAAGACCCAGGCUUGAUCCCCAGCUCAACUGUUGGUGGCCAAUAACCUUCUGCUAACCGGGUCCCAGGGGAUCUGAUGCUAUCUUCUGGCAUUCUCUGGUAUUGGACACAUAAGUGGUAUACACUUGUAAAUUCUAUAAAACAGACACAAAGACACACACACACACACACAAUGGAAGACCAAUAUGAUUUGUAGAUGCUGUCUCAAAAUAGGUUGUUUUGCAGAGCUAUUCUAAGAUCAGAAAACUGUUUUGCCUUAGGCUGGGCUUGGAGAAGUCCUUGACUGCAUCCUAGUUAAGACCAGAAUAGACCUUACCAAGCUCUGUCUGAAAUCUUAGGGUAUCAGGAUACUAUUUCAGGUGGUUCCACUCUUUAAUGAGCAGACUCUGGUACUCAGGAUACUUCUUGUAACUCAACAAUUCACAAUGUAAAUGUGUUUUAAAACUAAUUAAUUUUUACUUUGGGUACACUGGUGUCUUCUAUUCCUGCACAAACAUCAGACCAAGAAAAAUUGGGGAGGAAAGGGUUUAUUCAGUUUACACUUUCCACAUUGCUGUUCAUCACCAAAGAGAGUCGGGACUAGAAUUCAAGCAGGUCAGGAAGCAGGAGCUAACACAGAGGCCAUGGAGGGAUGUUCUUUACUGGCUUGCUUCCCCUGGCUUGCUCAGCCUGCUUUCUUAUAGAACCCAAGACUACCAGCCCAGGGAUGGCACCACCACAAGGGGCCCUCCCCACU
rnacentral:lncRNA from 1 species